GAGGGUAUAGCUCAGUGGUAGAGCACGUGCUUAGCAUGCAGGAGGUCCUGGGUUCAAUCCCCGGUAUCUCCA
rnacentral:tRNA from 1 species